ACCAAGUGCAGUGGAACACGCCUGUAGUCCCAGCUCCUUGGGAGGCGAGAGGAUUGCUUAAGUCCAGGUAUUCUGGGCUGUUGUGCACUAUGCCAUUUAGGUGUGCACAUUAAGUUUGGCAUCAACAUGGUGACCUCCCAGGAGCAGAGGACCACCAGGUUGCCUAAGGAGGGGUGAACCAGGCCAGGUUUGAAAGGGAGCAGCUCAAAACUUCCCUGCUGAGCAAUAGUGGGAUCUUCCAGUAAAUAGCCACUGCACUCCAGCCUGGGCAACAUAGCAAGACCCUCUCU
ensembl:misc_RNA Metazoa_SRP Metazoan signal recognition particle RNA